rnacentral:rRNA from 1 species
GCGCGAAAACUCUACAAUGCAGGCAACUGCGAUAGGGGAACAUCGAGUGAUACUCAUCUUGGGUGUCUGUCCUCCCGUCUAAAAAACGGGAGUUAGCAAGGGCCGGGCAAGACCGGUGCCAGCCGCCGCGGUAAUACCGGCGGCUCGAGUGGUGGCCGAUAUUAUUGAGUCUAAAGGGUCCGUAGCCGGCUUUGCAAGUCUUUUGGGAAAUCCAGCGGCUUAACCGUUGGUCGUCCGGGAGAUACUACAUUGCUUGGGACUGGGAGAGGUAGGAGGUACUCAGGGGGUAGGAGUGAAAUCCUGUAAUCCUUUGGGGACCACCGGUGGCGAAGGCGUCCUACCAGAACAGGUCCGACGGUGAGGGACGAAAGCUAGGGGCACGAACCGGAUUAGAUACCCGGGUAGUCCUAGCCGUAAACGAUGCUCGCUAGGUGUCACAACAAUCGUGAAUUGUUGUGGUGCCGUAGGGAAGCCGUGAAGCGAGCCACUUGGGAAGUACGACCGCAAGGUUGAAACUUAAAGGAAUUGGGCGGGGGAGCACCACAACGGGUGGAG